UCUUUGCAAAAUGAAUGUGAUAAUCCCGGCCUCUUCACCUCAUAAGAUAGUUGUAUGUUGCUGCUGCCUCCUGCCCAUAAAACCCCAGGUGAAUGCUAAUUACUGUUAUUACUAACAGACCAAUGCUUUCUGGGAGAGGUGAGUCCCGGUGACGGUGACAUCAUCAGGAAGGCUCAUGUAAGAAAGGAAUGGUCUCCUGGGACAUGAAGUCUCCUCUUCCCAGAAACCUUCGUCCUGCGUAUUACUCCGCAGGUUCACACGGGGUGACUCAGCCUGGAAACCUCCCGCCAGGAGGCACAUCAGCACGGGCAGAUCCACUGCUUUCUCGCCUGUCCUAGCUCUUCCUUCCUGCCCGGGAGGGUCCUACUGCACCUGCGUUCCAGCAAUACCCCCAGACACCUCCAAGCCCACCACCCUCCCCCAGACACGUGGCCCCAAUCCCUCUGUCUCUCCUGCCUGUGCGGAUGCCCUUCCAGCUCGGAGAGCUUUGGUAAAGAGGGGACAUCACCGCCCAACAGGAUGCCUAGGAAAUGCGUGUGUUCCUUUUUGCCCAGGAAGAGAUCUUGCUAAAGAACAAUCCUGAACUUUGUCCAAAUGGUUGAAAGCUUGACACGAGUCAUCUUCCUGUGAGCAUCUGAAAAACGCCUGUGUCCAAGCAGAACUGGAAGCACAGAUCUGCUCUUUCCUUUAGUCAAGACCUUGAAUUCCUGGAGCUGUUUCCUGCCCCACUCAUGGCCACGGUCCCUCUCAGGGGCUGCCAGGUAACAUGCAAGCCAAGCACUGCCGUGUGGCAGCGACAGAAAAUCCAAAGGAUCCAAGCGUCUACAGGAUGAAGCUGGAUCUCCCAAUGCUCUUCCCUGGUGGGUUCCCCCACUUCUUCCUAAAGAGCCUUAUUUCUUGUCCAAAAUCCUGAGACACUGGUGAAGGGGGGCAUUAAUAGGACUCUCAUUUUACAGGUGAAGAAGCCAAGUCCUUCUGGAGACAAAAGAGAUUUCAGGCAUGUUUCCUGUUUAGAGAAGGGCUUGCAGUUCCUCAUCCACAUUCCAGCCAGGGUUAGCCUGCUUGCUUGGCUUUUCUUUGCCAGCACUUGGCAGUGACCUACAUAGACCACGUGCCUAAUAAUAACUUGAACUUUAUUAGCACCCAACAUUCAAGGGUCUCUGGGCAUUUGGCAAAAGGCAGUAUUUAGUAAAUCACCUGCUUAUACCUCUGGGGCAGCCUUUGAAGAGAAGAGGCUGCCAGCUGGGAGUAUCGGCACAGCCGUCCCUUGUCUGACUUUUUUCUUUUUCAUUUAUUUAUCUGGAAAUCUCUAAGACCAUGGCUCACUUGUAAAGGUUGAUAUUUGAGAUAGAUAACAACUAGUCUGGCUCAGGUAUCGGCCAAUCAGGAUGGAUUUUGGCCAAGGGUACCCAACCAAGGCCCUACCCCCACUCCUGCCCCUGAUUGGCCAGGUAUUGUCCCUAAAGCUGCAGGUUUAGGGGAAGGUCUAGGGAGUUCCAGGGAAGGAGCCUAGGUGGUCAAGGUAGUGGGACAAUAGCUGUACCAAAGUGACAGGGAAGUAAUUCAGUAUUUAACCAGCUGACUGUCAACCCCGUACGUACCCGUAUUCUCAGUUCCUGGGAAGUACAGAUCCAUGCCACGUGGCUCAGCGUUCUCCUAAGCGUCCGUAAUGGUUAACCAUGGCAGGCUAAGGCGUAGAGGUGUUUGGAUUCAAGAGUCGUGGGGAUUUCAUUUUAGUGCAUCUUACCUCCUCUUUGGUCCCCUGGAGCUGGAGCUGGAUCAGGUGUAAGAAGAGUGGGUGCAAGUCACAAGUGAUAGCAUGAGAUGAUCAGAGUUAGGGAAGCCCAAGAGGGCCCCUAAGUCCAAAUGUCGGUGUAGAAUUCGAUGUGAGAGACAGAAUAGAACAGGACAGAUGCUGGGAAGAUCUAGGACAAGAGGGUCGAGGGGGUCAGAGGGUCUAAAAUCACUGCCUCGAAAGCUCCAUCACUCCUUGCCAGGGAAGCUUAACUGUGGUUAAAAACGUAAGGAAGGGUAGAGCUACUCAGUCCUCAACAGUUCUUAGAACUUCCUUGUGAAAACAUUUCCCCAAGGGUUUGCAACUCACCCAGCAAGCUCUUUCAGAAAAGUUAUCCCAGAGGCCAAAGCUGAUACUUAAGAAGGACCUUCAUUGUUUGAAGGGCUGCUUCCCACUGGGAAAAAGCAUGAUUUAGAUGGGUGGUCUUUUCCAUCACAGAGUCCAAAUUCUCUAGGACUCUGGCCACCUCGGAGCAGGGUAGCUUUAUAAAUUUUUACCGGUACAAUAAUUCUAAUAGAGCCAUUUUGGAAGUGGUCUCAAAGGCCACUGGAGAUGCAAGAAUUCUCCUGAUGGACGCAAAUUGCUUUCCAAACAUAUGAGUCCUUUCUGCUCUUCUGGGUGAAUGCCACGCAAUCCUCCAGCUGGCAUUUAGGGAGAACUAAUCACUUUCUACUAUUAACUUAUUACGUGAAUCAUUAAGGGUGACUGAAUUCGGAAUUCAUGCACCAAAAUGAGCGUGUCACCAGAAUACUUCUAUUCAGCAUUUAUCCAAAAUUCUAUCAUCUAUGCAACAUGUGGCAGCUUGCAGAGCUCCUGCUGUGCCUGCAAAACUGUCAGCAGCCAAAUGCCCACACUGAGGAGGAAGCAAGUUUUGUUUUCUGUCUGAGCAGUUGCUGCUACUGUGUUAUCCACGUGGUUGGUUUUAGAUUUUCUGAUCUUCUCUAAGAUGUUUAGGUUUCUGUAUUCGCCACAUCAGUAUUUGGGGCCGGUAAUUUUCUAGUUAACUAAAUUGGAAGAUACGUUGUGGUUCAAAUAGGAAUCAUCAUACCCCAGUUGCCAAAGCAAAUGUUUACGUAAUGCUACCCCCUCUCCCCAAAAGCAAACUGCUUAUGCGUUGACACUUUGUUAUUAUAAACAAGUCCCAUUGUUUCUUCCACUGGAAAGUGUAAAAGGACAGAAUAAAUGGACAACGAGGUCUCUUCCCCACCUGAGUGGGUUGAAGUGAAAAAAAAGAUGGAAAGUUA